CCUACGGGAGGCAGCAGUGAGGAAUAUUGGUCAAUGGGCGCGAGCCUGAACCAGCCAAGUCGCGUGAGGGAAGAAGGUCCUAUGGAUUGUAAACCCCUUUUGUCGGGGAGCAAAAGACGACACGCGUGGAGUUAUGAGCGUACCCGAAGAAAAAGCAUCGGCUAACUCCGUGCCAGCAGCCGCGGUAAUACGGAGGAGGCGAGCGUUAUCCGGAUUUAUUGGGUUUAAAGGGAGCGUAGGUGGAUUGUUAAGUCAGUUGUGAAAGUUUGAGGCUCAACCGUAGAAUUGCAGUUGAAACUGGUAGUCUUGAGUACAGGAGAGGUAGGCGGAAUUCGUGGUGUAGCGGUGAAAUGCUUAGAUAUCACGAAGAACUCCGAUUGCGAAGGCAGUUCACUGGACUGUAACUGACGCUGAGGCUCGAAAGUGUGGGGAUCAAACAGGAUUAGAUACCCUAGUAGUC
rnacentral:rRNA from 1 species